UCUUGAUGCAGGUUUUGCAUUUCAUUUAAUUCCCCACUUAUUCUAGGUUGAAUUAUUGUGCAGUGUGCUUGAUUGCUAGCCUUAUUUGGGUUUUCCUUUGAAAAAAGUUAAGCUCAAGUAGUCAUGUUAGUAAUAACAGAUGUUUAUUUAAUGCUUCAAUUUAUUUAUGGAUGCAGGUGAUUUUACAAAAGUUAACUGCAACUAUCUUGGUCACUCUGAAUAAUGUUAUAUUUGUUUUGAAUUUUCAUUCCCUGUUGUGAGCUGUCGGAGAAAGCUAUACUCACACUUAGUUGACCUAUUUGUACAGGUAUUUUAUUUCUUGGAUUG
rnacentral:misc_RNA from 1 species